GAUGAAGAACGUAGCGAAAUGCGAUAACUAAUGUGAAUUGCAGAAUUCCGUGAAUCAUCGAGUUUUUGAACGCACAUUGCGCCCCCUGGUAUUCCGGGGGGCAUGCCUGUCCGAGCGUCAUUGCUGCCCAUCAAGCACGGCUUGUGUGUUGGGUCCUCGUCCCCCCCGGGGGACGUGCCCGAAAGGCAGCGGCGGCACCGCGUCCGGUCCUCGAGCGUAUGGGGCUUUGUCACCCGCUCUGCAGGCCCGGCCGGCGCUGGCCGACGCGAAAGCAACCAUUUUUUCUCCAGGUUGACCUCGGAUCAGGUAGGGAUACCCGCUGAACUUAAGCAUAUCAAUAAGCGGAGGA
rnacentral:misc_RNA from 1 species